AGCUUAGAUAGUGGGAUGAAAUUCUUUCCGUGUGAAGGUGGUGAGGUACUGGCAGAGGCUGCCCAGAGCAGCUGUGGCUGCCCCAUCCCUGGCGUG